rnacentral:rRNA from 1 species
GAUUAAAACUCAAAGGAAUAGACGGGGACCCGCACAAGCGGUGGAGCAUGUGGUUUAAUUCGACGAUACGCGAAGAACCUUACCUGGCCUUGACAUAGAAAGAACUUACUAGAGAUAGUUUGGUGCUAGCUUGCUAGAACUUUCAUACAGGUGCUGCACGGCUGUCGUCAGCUCGUGUCGUGAGAUGUUGGGUUAAGUCCCGCAACGAGCGCAACCCUCGUGUUUAGUUACUAACAGUUCGGCUGAGGACUCUAGACAGACUGCCUGGGUAACCAGGAGGAAGGUGAGGACGACGUCAAGUCAUCAUGGCCCUUACGGCCAGGGCUACACACGUGCUACAAUGGGGUAUACAAAGAGCCGCAAUACCGUGAGGUGGAGCAAAUCUCAUAAAAUAUCUCCCAGUUCGGAUUGAAGUCUGCAACUCGACUUCAUGAAGUUGGAAUCGCUAGUAAUCGUGAAUCAGCAAUGUCACGGUGAAUACGUUCCCGGGUCUUGUACUCACCGCCC